CAGCCGCCGCGGUAAUACAGAGGGUGCGAGCGUUAAUCGGAUUUACUGGGCGUAAAGCGUGCGUAGGCGGCUUCUUAAGUCGGAUGUGAAAUCCCUGAGCUUAACUUAGGAAUUGCAUUCGAUACUGGGAAGCUAGAGUAUGGGAGAGGAUGGUAGAAUUCCAGGUGUAGCGGUGAAAUGCGUAGAGAUCUGGAGGAAUACCGAUGGCGAAGGCAGCCAUCUGGCCUAAUACUGACGCUGAGGUACGAAAGCAUGGGGAGCAAACGGGAUUAGAUACCCGGGUAGUCCCUGUCUCUUAUAA
rnacentral:rRNA from 1 species